rnacentral:rRNA from 1 species
UACAGAGGUCUCGAGCGUUAGGCGGAAUCACUGGGCUUAAAGCGUGUGUAGGCGGAUUGCUAAGUACCUUGUGAAAUCCCACGGCUUAACCGUGGAACUGCUUGGUAUACUGGCUGUCUUGAGCCACUUAGGGGCAACCGGAACAAACGGUGGAGCGGUGAAAUGCGUAGAUAUCAGGAGGAACACCGAUGGCGAAGGCAGCUCGCUGGGACGGUACUGACGCUGAGGCGCGAAAGCGUGGGGAGCAAACAGG